GAAAGGGGUUUCGUAGGUGAACCUGCGGAGGAUCAUUAACCGUUACAAACAGUGUGUGAUGCGGCCGCCGAGGUGAAUAGCCUCUGGUUGGUAUGGGGUUCGCCCCUUCACGCUCACGCGUCUGCCAUCCUUACUUUACGAGCACCUUCUGUUCUCCCUCGGCAAGGGCCUCGCCCUGCCGUUGGAACCACAAAACUCUUUUUUGCAUCUAGCAUUACCUGUUCCGACAAAAACAAUCGUUUACAACUUUCAACAAUGGAUCUCUUGGCUCUGGCAUCGAUGAAGAACGCAGCGAAAUGCGAUAAGUAGUGUAAAUUGCAGAAUUCAGUGAAUCAUCGAAUCUUUGAACGCACAUUGCGCCCCUCGGUAUUCCGUGGGGCAUGCCUGUUCGAGCGUCAUCUACACCCUCAAGCUCUGCUUGGUGUUGGGCGUCUGUCCCGCCUCCGCGCGUGGACUCGCCCCAAAUACAUUGGCAGCGGUCUUUGCCUCCUCUCGCGCAGCACAUUGCGCUUCUCGAGGUGUCGCGGACACGCGUCCAGUAAGCAACAUUUACCGUCUUUGACCUCGGAUCAGGUAGGGAUACCCGCUGAACUUAAGCAUAUCAAUAAGCGGAGGAA
rnacentral:rRNA from 1 species